rnacentral:rRNA from 1 species
UACGUAGGGUGCGAGCGUUGCCCGGAUUUAUUGGGCGUAAAGGGCGCGUAGGCGGCUCGGCACGUCCGUUGUGAAAUCGCUCGGCUCAACUGGGCGAGGUCAGCGGAUACGGUCGAGCUUGAGCCAGCUAGGGGGCAAUGGAAUUCCCGGGUGUAGUGGUGGAAUGCGUAGAGUAUCGGGAGGAACACCAGUGGCGAAGGCGGUUGCCCUGGGGCGUGUGCUGACGC